AUACGGAGGGGGCUAGCGUUGUUCGGAAUUACUGGGCGUAAAGCGCGCGUAGGCGGAUUGAUCAGUCAGGGGUGAAAUCCCGAGGCUUAACCUCGGAACUGCCUUUGAUACUGUCAAUCUUGAGUUCGAGAGAGGUGAGUGGAAUUCCUAGUGUAGAGGUGAAAUUCGUAGAUAUUAGGAAGAACACCAGUGGCGAAGGCGGCUCACUGGCUCGAUACUGACGCUGAGGUGCGAAAGCGUGGGGAGCAAACAGAAUUAGAAACCCUAGUAGUCC
rnacentral:rRNA from 1 species